rnacentral:lncRNA from 1 species
CCGUGAGAAUUGCGACCGGUGGUAACAAAAAGAACUUCCGCAUUUAGUUCCGGGAACACAAGGUUCCGGGGCGGGGCCGUCUAGCCCGGAGUUCCGGGACGGGGCCUCAGACUGUGAAUUGGUGACUUGCUCCAGCUUGGCUGAUGUCAGUACACUGAAGUGCUCUAAACUGAGGAACAUGGAACAGAUCAGAGGAAAGGAGAGAAACUUGAGCUAUUUCCGGUAACAUCGAAAAGUGUGAAACAGGGAUAAAAGGUGUGAAAGACCUACCUGUGCACUGAAGACUACUGAGCAUUGCCGAACAAAUUUAAGGAAGAGCCUCCAAAGUGAAGACGUACACCAUGUUCACAGGUCAGUUGAGUCACUACAAUCCUGAUCAAAAUUCUGGCAGACUCAUUUGUAGAAAUUGACAAGUUGAUCUUAAAGUUCAUAUGAAAAUUCGAAGGAGCUAGAAGAGCAAAAUAAAAAACCUUGAAAAAGAAGAGCA